GACCUUACCAGGCCGGGGAGACACCAUAAUCACAAAGUUGGUUUUUCCAGGGCAAGGCUGAUCCAUUGCCCUCUGGAUGUGCUCAUCCCUCUGAUUUCCCCAAAUGCAGGAAAACUGACUGCAUAAUCUGUGGUAGUGGAUAGUGACUGCAUUCACCAUCU